UACGUAGGGGGCAAGCGUUGUCCGGAAUCAUUGGGCGUAAAGAGCGCGUAGGCGGUCCGGUAAGUCCGCUGUGAAAGUCGGGGGCUCAACCCUCGAAUGCCGGUGGAUACUGUCGGGCUAGAGUCCGGAAGAGGCGAGUGGAAUUCCUGGUGUAGCGGUGAAAUGCGCAGAUAUCAGGAGGAACACCGAUGGCGAAGGCAGAUCUCUGGGCCGUAACUGACGCUGAGGAGCGAAAGCGUGGGGAGCGAACAGGAUAGAAACC
rnacentral:rRNA from 1 species